GACGAACCGUGCGAACGUUGUUCGGAAUCACUGGGCUUAAAGGGCGCGUAGGCGGGCUGCCGCGUCCGGGGUGAAAUCCUCCGGCUCAACCGGGGAAGGGCCUCGGAUACGGGCGGCCUGGAGUGGGGUGAGGGGCGUGCGGAACUGUGGGUGGAGCGGUGAAAUGCGUUGAGAUCGGAAGGAACGCCCGUGGCGAAAGCGCGCUCCUGGACGUUUUUUCUGGACGGCUGAGACGCGAAAGCCAGGGGAGCGAAC
rnacentral:rRNA from 1 species